GCAUGCAGGCGGCCUGUUAAGUCAGAUGUGAAAGACCCGGGGCGUUAACCUCGGAAUUGCAUUUGAAACUGGCAGGCUAGAGUCGUUCGUAGAGGGGGGUAGGAAGUUUCACGGUGUAGCGGUGAAAUGCGUAGAGAUCUGAAGGAAUACCAGUGGCGAAGGCGGCCCCCUGGACAAAGACUGACGCUCAGAUGCGAAAGCGUGGGGAGCAAACAGGAUUAGAUACCCCUGGUAG
rnacentral:rRNA from 1 species